rnacentral:rRNA from 1 species
UACGAAGGUUGCAAGCGUUACUCGGAAUUACUGGGCGUAAAGCGUGCGUAGGCGGUUUGUUAAGUCUGUCGUGAAAGCCCUGGGCUCAACCUGGGAAUUGCGAUGGAUACUGGCAAGCUAGAGUACGGUAGAGGAUGGUGGAAUUCCCGGUGUAGCGGUGAAAUGCGUAGAGAUCGGGAGGAACACCCGUGGCGAAGGCGGCCAUCUGAACCAGUACUGACGCUGAGGCACGAAAGCGUGGGGAGCAAACAGG